GUCUCUAUGAAGUUAUAUGAAGUCUGACCUGCCCAUUGAAAUUUAUUAAAAGGCCGCGGUAUAUUAACUGUGCAAAGGUAGCAUAAUUAGUAGUUUUUUAAUUGAAGGCUUGUAUGAAAGGUUGGACAAGGGAUAAGCUGUCUUUAUUUUUAUUUUUGAAUUUGUCUUUUAAGUGAAAAGACUUAAAUAAGUUUAAGGGACGAUAAGACCCUAUAAAUCUUUAUAUUAGUUUAAUUUUAUUUUAAAUUUUAAUGUUUAAAAGAGUAAAGUUAAUAUAGUAUUGUAUUGGGGUGAUAGGAAUAAUUAGUAAACUGUUCGAAGGUAUAAACAAAAAUAUUUGAUUAUAAUUAUUAGUAGAUCCUUAGUGGAGAUUACAAGUUUAAGUUACUUUAGGGAUAACAGCGUUAUUUUUUUUGAGAGUUCUAAUCGAAAAAGAAGUUUGCGACCUCGAUGUUGAAUUAAAAUUUCUUUGUGGUGUAGUAGUUACAAGAGAGAGUCUGUUCGACUUUU
rnacentral:rRNA from 1 species